rnacentral:sRNA from 1 species
UGACUUUAGAGUGAACAUUGUGAAAGUGC